UGGGGAAUAUUGGACAAUGGGCGCAAGCCUGAUCCAGCCAUGCCGCGUGUGUGAAGAAGGCCUUUUGGUUGUAAAGCACUUUAAGCGAGGAGGAGGCUACUUGGAUUAAUACUCUAGGAUAGUGGACGUUACUCGCAGAAUAAGCACCGGCUAACUCUGUGCCAGCAGCCGCGGUAAUACAGAGGGUGCGAGCGUUAAUCGGAUUUACUGGGCGUAAAGCGUGCGUAGGCGGCUUCUUAAGUCGGAUGUGAAAUCCCUGAGCUUAACUUAGGAAUUGCAUUCGAUACUGGGAAGCUAGAGUAUGGGAGAGGAUGGUAGAAUUCCAGGUGUAGCGGUGAAACGCGUAGAGAUCUGGAGGAAUACCGAUGGCGAAGGCAGCCAUCUGGCCUAAUACUGACGCUGAGGUACGAAAGCAUGGGGAGCAAACAGG
rnacentral:rRNA from 1 species